CUUGUCUUUUACGACGCGCAAAUUACGGCGUGCAUAUCGUGUGCGCCGUAAAAGACGGUCAUUUACGGCAUGUUUUUUUGUGCGCCGUAAAAGACGUCCAUUUUUUGUCUUUUACGGCGUGCUUUUCAUGUGCGCCGUAAAUGACAUAUUACAUUUACGACAUACUUUUUUUGUGCGCUGUAAAAGACUAAUUUUUUAUCUUUUACGGCGUGCUUUUCACGUGUGCCGUAAAUGAUGUGUUUCUUAACAAUCCCGCUCAGCCAUUUUUAGCUAAAUUCUAAUUUCCCACCAAACCUUUUUACUCUGACAUUUUUUUUUUAAAAGAUAAAAACUCAGGCCAAACCCGGAUCUCUUCAGACUCUCCAUCUCUCGUCUCGUUUCCUCUUCUUCUCUUCAUCCUCGCUCGAUGCCAUCCCAUCGAUCUAAAGGCCGAAGCCAAUAAUCCUGUCAUUAGGUGAGUGAAUAUGUCUCUCCCAAAUUCAGUUGGGGUCUCUCUCUCUCUUCUUUGCUAUGCGCGGCCCUUCGAGGCUUCCAACGCCAGACGUGUAUGCAUCAAUUGCUUCUCUCUCCGUCCUCUCUCAGGGGUUGAAGUAGUUUUUGCAAUAGAGAAAGCUGCGGUGGAGAUAUGACUUCUGUUCGCUGACGGUGCUCUCGGGCCGUCUAUCAAACUCAACUCGGGGCUGGAUUAUUACAUAGAUGUUGAUUAUCAAGUGGGUGAUGGCUUCUCUUUCAGUGGAGGUGUCUAUUCUCUUUUCCACUACCUCUUUUAUUUGCUAAAUGGCCUUUCCAAGUUUUUCAGUACUAGUAACUGAGGAAGUGGGUAAGUUUUUGACAGGAAAGUAUUCAUAUGGACCAAGCCCUUCUGAUGAAUGGUUCAAGCAGGGGAAGAUAGUGAGUCCUAUAAAUUACCAAUCUUUCUUUUUUUGUUUUUGUUUUUAUAAUCACCCAUUUGAAAGGAAAUUUAGACCCAAUUUAAUUUGUAUGGAUUCUAUCCUAUGGAUCAUAUGGCUGUUUUUUUUUUUUUGUGUGAUCAUAUUCUAGGUGCUUAUAUUUCUCUUGGUUCUGGUGAGAAGGUCCGAUCUUGGACUUGCAAUGGGUGCUGAUUCUCAGGCAGCUGCUGAUGUUUUUAGGUAAAUUUGUACAUUUAGCUUUAGAGGACUAGCGGUUGGCAUGUUUGAAACAGUGUGGUUUAUACUUUUAUAGUAUAUGAGUCAUGCAGACAAUGAGUGUGGAAUUUGCAGGGUUUACCAAUUGUCUCACUCUACAAUAAUUUCACUUUUAAGAGAGUUAUUGAAGUUGUUAUUUUGGCUUUCCCCAUCUGCUAAUUUGUAGGUGGUCUUCUUUCUUAUAUUUAAGCAGGGGCCUACUGGUAUUCAGUCUGCCAAUUUGUAGGUUUCUUCCAGUUCAUUAAGAAAAAUGAUUUCAUUGUAGUUGUAUUAUUUACUCGAUCUUGUCAUUCAUAAAGAUUGUUUUAGUUUUUUACAUAAAGUUCUGUAUUCUAUUUUGUUGAAGUUAAUAAUUUCAUUGUGGAGACCCAAGUUUCAAAGAUAUAUUAUGAUUUCUUAUAUAUGAUAUUGUUUUUAUAUAUUACUAUUUUUAAUUAUGAUUACUUUCCUUUCAGUCGUAUAACUGAAGGAUAUUUUCUUUUAUUCCAACUUCCUUAAUAUAUUUGAAAUUGUAAGAAAAUUCUGCCCAAUCCAUUUUAUUUGCUCAUUCUAUCGUUUCACUCUAAGUCAGACCCUUUCUUUCUUUAGAAGUACUUGGUAGAUAAUCAAUUGGAAUGGAAAAAUUGGUUUAGCUUGAGAUGGCAUGGAUUUUGAUGGAGUUGGAAGAAUCAUAUGUCAUUUGCUGUUCUCUUUAUGCAACAGCUCCUACUCUUCUUAUUUUCACUCUCUGCGCGCAACUCCUCCUCGGUAUUUGCCAAUUCCUAUCAUUUCAGUCCAUCACCAUCUCUCCUCUUAUCCACUACUCAAGGAUUUAUCUUGAUCAGACGAUUUAACUUCUUUCUUAAUCUCUUCCUUUCCCAAAGUCUCUCUCUACUUGUUCAUAUCCUUCUCUCAAACUCUUCCCAUCCAAAGGUAUAGUUUCUCCUCUGCUCUGUUUAUUGAAUUGAUUAUGUCUUUCAAUUUGAGUCUGAGUUCUUUGAUUUACUUUUAUGAAUUUCCAGCUCUCAUUGUUAUCUGUUUACAAAGAAUUUGAUGCUUAGUCUUUGCUUCUUAGUUCUUUCUGGUUCUUAAACGGAGCCCUUGCAUUCUUAUAAAAGUUCCAUGAUUUAAAUUGGUCUUGCAUCACCAUUGUGACAAGGCCCGCCGGCUAUGUGAGGCAUUCGGUGCAUAGGAUUUUCCCCCCGUGUCACUUUAUGAACGAAAAAAAAGAACCUUUCAUGUCUUGAAUGUUUGGAAUCUGCCUUGUGUAGCUGAUGUCAACUUUUUUAUUUCUGUUAUUUAGUUGCUGCCGUUAAACUUCUGUUGAGUUGCUUGUUGGUUCUUUUGAGGGUGAUUUUUUGCUCUCCUGCAGAUUUCAAAGUACAUGUUGAUUAAUGCUUAGAGUAUUUACAUGGAUUUUAAAGUACAUGUUGAUUAAUGCUUAGAGUAUGUUAUUUCCUGGAGGUUAUUUGCUUCCAAUUUAUUUUUACUAAUUCGUCUGC